rnacentral:rRNA from 1 species
CAGUCGCCGCGGUAAUACGGAGGGGGCUAGCGUUGUUCGGAAUUACUGGGCGUAAAGCGCACGUAAGCGGCUUUGUAAGUUAGAGGUGAAAGCCCGGAGCUCAACUCCGGAAUUGCCUUUAAGACUGCAGAGCUAACAGGUGAGAGAGGUGAGUGGAAUUCCGAGUGUAGGGGUGAAAUUCGUAGAUAUUCGGAAGAACACCAGUGGCGAAGGCGGCUUACUGGCUCAUACUGGACGCUGAGGUGCGAAAGCGUGGGGAGCAAACAGGAUUAGAUACCCCUGUAGUCCCUGUCUCUUAUAC